rnacentral:lncRNA from 1 species
GACCUCACUUUGGAAACACUGACAGAGAGCUUUCAGAGAUGCAGUGACUCUGCCAGAUGCUUCAGUGUCUCCCAGGAGGCAGGUUUUGCAGUGCAUGGAGAGGAACCAGCUGGCAGAGAAAGAAUCCCAGGUCCCGGGAAGACAGAAAUGUUGCUGAGACCCCGUGGCAGCUUGGGUUCAAGCAAGACAAAGCUGCAGCCAACAGGGCUGCCAUCUUCUCACUCUCUAAAGGAAUGUGAGAGGGUGACCACCCUACAACCCAGGGAAAUGGGUUCUUGUUCUAGCCUGGUGUUGGAGAAUCACUCUCUGCAUCUGAUGUUUACAAAGAAGAUAAAUUCCUCUUCAGGCCUGACACCAGCCAUCCACCUCCAGCAGCAAGGGAACCAGGAAAUCUCAUGGCCAGCCUGGCCAGCAAGCGAGUGGAAUAUGCAAAGGAGAUGACUCACAGCAGACCAGCACGGUCGGCCAUGAAGCAGAGGCCAAAUUGCCAUCUGUUUCAUCAAGUUCGUUGGUGGUUGCCGUAUUUAUGUCUGUGAUUUAUGUCUAGGUGUCACCAUGAGCCUUGGCAGAUUUGGGAGACUAUUAAAUGUAUGAUUUGUCGAUAGCUA